UACAGAGGUCCCAAGCGUUGUUCGGAUUUAUUGGGCGUAAAGGGUGCGUAGGCGGUGAUACAAGUCGGAUGUGAAAUCCCGGAGCCUAACUCCGGAACUGCAUUCGAAACUGUAUCGCUCGAGGUCUGGAGAGGUGACUGGAAUUCUCGGUGUAGCAGUGAAAUGCGUAGAUAUCGAGAGGAACACCAGAGGCGAAGGCGAGUCACUGGACAGAACCUGACGCUGAGGCACGAAAGCUAGGGGAGCAAACGGG
rnacentral:rRNA from 1 species